CUCAGCAUAAAGAUCCUCUCCAUACCUACUUCUAGAGGAGCAGAGUCAGGAUCUGCGCCCACUUCUGAAGGCGAAUUGGGUUGGAGGGUUGAAGACUUCGUGUCGGGGAAAUGGUGCUAACAGAGAGACCGCAUUAGAAGAGCAGGGGUUGGGGGUGGAAGGGAACCCGGAGGACCAGGACUGAGUUCCGUCUGACUCCAGAGCGCAGGGCGGAGAAAGAUGUCGGAUGAAGAUGAUGUGGAUGACAUUGAUCCAGAGCAGGAUGAAGUGGAAAGAGAAGAGGAUGACAAGGAGAUAGAGGAAUGGGAUGACUACAGGAAAGAGGGGGAAGAAGUCUCUGAGGAAUGGCUGCCCACCCCCCUCACGGAGCUCAUGAUGAAGGAAGGGCUUUCAUUACUCUGCAAGAUUGGCAGUGGACUAGCUCACGCUUAUAUUAAGCUGGAGGCUAAAGACAGGGACCUCACAGACAUCACCUUACUGCGUUCCUAUAUCCAUCUUCGCUAUGUGGACAUUUCUGAGAACCAUAUUACAGACAUGUCACCGCUCAAUAGCCUCACUCACCUACUGUGGCUCAAGGCCGAUGGUAACCAGCUUCGGAGUGCCCGGUUGAACGAACUGCCCUACCUGCAGAUCGCCAGUUUUUCCUACAACCAGAUCAUAGACACCGAAGGCAUCUUUCAUCCCCGUCUGGGAAGCCUGGAUCUCAAAGGGAACCACAUCCACCAGGUGUCUGGGCUGGACCCUACAAGACUGACGAGUCUGCACACCCUGGAGCUUCGGGGGAACCAGUUAGAAACUACGAUGGGAAUCAACCUUCCAAAGCUAAAGAAUCUCUACCUGGCCCAAAACCUGCUGAAGAAAGUAGAGGGCCUGGAGAACCUGAGCAACCUGACUACCCUGCAUCUGCGAGACAACCAGAUUGAAACUUUGGAUGGCUUCUCCAAGGAGAUGAAGUCGCUGCAGUACCUCAACUUGAGGAGCAAUAUGAUUGCUGACCUGGCGGAGCUGGCCAAACUGCGGGACCUGCCAAAGCUUCGGGCCCUGGUGCUGCUGGACAACCCAUGCGCAGAUGAGACUGACUACCGCCAGGAGGCCCUAGUGCAGGUGGCGCACCUAGAGCGCCUAGACAAAGAGUUCUAUGAGGAUGAGGACCGGGCGGAGGCCGAGGAGAUCCGUCAGAGGCUGAAGGAGGAACAGGAGCAAGAACUCGAUCCAGACCAGGACAUGGAGCCUUACGUGCCACCAGUUUAGUGGCUCGCCCAGCCUACAGGGACAGUAAAGGUGAUGCCAGGAAGACAGCCUCCGGAGGGCAAAGGAGGCCAAGGACGCUGGCCUCAAGAACUGAUAAGACUCCAGUGGGGGACCCCCACAUUCAUAGCCCUGUCACAGGAAGUGGGAGAUGCACCCUUUUGUCCCAGACUGGAAAUCCAUCACAUCUCAAGGCUCAGGCUCUUUGGCAGUC